rnacentral:lncRNA from 1 species
ACCAGAGAUUCCUUUGAUUCAGUCAGGAGAAAGCACCAGUGAUUCCAGGACCAACGGAAGAAGUCUUCACUGAUCCAUUUAUGAGGACAAGAUGGGGUUCAAUUUGGAAAAGAGGCUCUGGUGGGAAGCCCUGGCAACCCUCUGGGCCCCAGUUUCUUCCUCUGGAACAAAAAAGAGAGAGAACAUGACCAUGACCAUGACAGAGUGCCUCUCAGCUCAGGCCUGCCGUCCUGCCCUGGCACCUGGAAGUUAUAUCUCACACAGCCGCCACUGG